rnacentral:rRNA from 1 species
AUUGAACGCUGGCGGCAGGCUUAACACAUGCAAGUCGAGCGGGGAAGGGUAGCUUGCUACCUGACCUAGCGGCGGACGGGUGAGUAAUGCUUAGGAAUCUGCCUAUUAGUGGGGGACAACAUUCCGAAAGGAAUGCUAAUACCGCAUACGCCCUACGGGGGAAAGCAGGGGAUCUUCGGACCUUGCGCUAAUAGAUGAGCCUAAGUCAGAUUAGCUAGUUGGUGGGGUAAAGGCCUACCAAGGCGACGAUCUGUAGCGGGUCUGAGAGGAUGAUCCGCCACACUGGGACUGAGACACGGCCCAGACUCCUACGGGAGGCAGCAGUGGGGAAUAUUGGACAAUGGGCGCAAGCCUGAUCCAGCCAUGCCGCGUGUGUGAAGAAGGCCUUUUGGUUGCAAAGCACUUUAAGCGAGGAGGAGGCUACUUGGAUUAAUACUCCAGGAUAGUGGACGUUACUCGCAGAAUAAGCACCGGCUAACUCUGUGCCAGCAGCCGCGGUAAUACAGAGGGUGCGAGCGUUAAUCGGAUUUACUGGGCGUAAAGCGUGCGUAGGCGGCUUUUUAAGUCGGAUGUGAAAUCCCUGAGCUUAACUUAGGAAUUGCAUUCGAUACUGGGAAGCUAGAGUAUGGGAGAGGAUGGUAGAAUUCCAGGUGUAGCGGUGAAAUGCGUAGAGAUCUGGAGGAAUACCGAUGGCGAAGGCAGCCAUCUGGCCUAAUACUGACGCUGAGGUACGAAAGCAUGGGGAGCAAACAGG